rnacentral:pre_miRNA from 1 species
UGGACAGAUUAUUGUAUUCGAUUGUAUUCACGGCGUAAAAUAGGGGAUUACACUGUUUUAAAACGGAAAGCGAAUCAAUUAACAUAAUAGACUCCU